GGUCUAGCACCAACGGAGACAACGACGGAAGACAGCACUAUGAUCGGCGGGCAGACGCUGAGUGACGUCAAGCUGGAAGCCUGUCGGGAACAGCUGAUAUGUCUGAUGUACUCCAGUCCGGCCAAGUAUGCGCCAUAUAGCAACUUGGUGUCAGCGCAACUGAGUAGAGAGCUCAACGAACUCCGUCGGCCAGUGUCCGACAACCCGGAGAUCCUUCGCUUCUUCCGCUACAUGCGAGCUGCAAGGAGAGGGCAAGAGGGAACCGACUGCAUGACUGCUCACCCCGCGUGUGCGACCAAUACCGCUCCCUCCCACACCAUGAUAGCAGCGUACCAUGAUAUCAAUAAACUCGUCACGGCGAGGAAAUUACACACAUAAUAGGUUGUCUACGAACAAUGAUGCAGAUGCUACGAAUGCUACGAUCAAGCCUAAUGUAGAAAAUAUCAAACAAUGCAAAAAAAGCCAUCAUCAUCUUCAUCAUCAUUGUCAUCACACUACUUUGUUAUGACUCCACUAAAGAAUAGAGUCUGAGAGGAGAAAUUACACCAAGUCGCCCAAUAAGAUGUCCCUAAUAUAAGUGGACAUUUUGUUAACCCUGUGUUUAUACAACUGGACUAUCAAAAUAGAGACUAAUUACUUUAUUCAUAGUUUGAUCCAUACAAAACUAGCAUUUGAAUUCUAAUUCUAAAAGUUUGUUUAUCAUGCUUUAUUAGCACGAUUUUAAGGCUGUGUAAUAAUACAAGGCUUCUACAUACAUAUAAUUCACAAUACAUUGACAAAACAGAAUCUUUCGUCCAGAAAAAAUGUUAUUUUCUUGAAAUUUAAAAAAACACGAGUAAAAGCAAGUUUCAUAAAGGUUUCUAUUACAUAAAAAGGAAAAAAAAGAAAUACUUUUAUUAUACAUUUAUAAAUAAAAAACGAUGUAGAAAAUAUGUAGUUAGACUGAUGACUAAAUUAGAAAUCCCUGUACGAUGUUUUUUGCUUGGAAUAUUUGAAAACAUUUUACCCCGAAAAAUCUUUCCCUCUUACGUAUUUGUAAAAAAAAAGUAAUUUUGGUAGUGUACUUAUAUGUAGGUAUACCUUAUAUUAUAGCGUAUGAUAUGAAAAUUCUUGAUACCGCCAGGAAAUUAUAUUGGGGUUUGGGGUGGGUCGACCUGCAAUUUGAUCUGAAUAAGCUCGCAUAGUGCGAGACCCCGAUGGUCUAUUGGUUAGACUAUGUGGUCUCAAAUCACGAGGUCGUUGGUUCAAGUCCUAGGUCGAGUUUAGGUCGAGUUUCGAUAUUGAACUUGUCUUUCUUUUUAUAAUUUCUCAGGAGUAGCCCGGAAUUGGAAAGCUAGAGGCUUAAUCAUCAGCUGGCCUAUUCAUUAACUUGGUCUUUAUUAACAACCUAUUAAAAUAAACAUCAAAUCAACUGAGAAAUGUCAUCUACCUACUGUAUUUUACCUCAUACAGUAGUUAGAUGACUCAGAUUAAUUAGAGAAGGACCAGUAUCGUACCCAAAAUCAUGAACAAAAUCGUCUGUCAUAUAUACCUUAGAUUUGGUAUACUUAUAUAUUAUACUAAACUAGAAUUUUAUGCCCGUUUUUUACACCAUUCACCUAUGCAAAAAUGUGUUUUUACUCUAUAACCGACGAACACGAUUACAACUAUGAAACAAACGAUACUAUAGAGACAGUUUUUAUAAUCUCAUUAGAUCGUUGAUCAUAUAAUUUGACAGAAAAGUAACGUCUAGCAUGGCAGGUCAUAUACAUUAAUUGGUCUGAGAAUUAUAGGCUAAUGAUGAUAAUGAUGGCGUAUUGUUUAGGACUCAUAUAGAUUUUCUUCUUCGAAUCGGAAGUAUCUUCCAUUAUUUAGACUAAUAUUAUAAAGCUGAAUAGUUUGUUUGUUUGGUUGAACGCGCUAAUUUCAGGAACUACUGGUCCGAUUUGAAACAAUCUUUCAGUGUCAGAUAGCCCUUUUAUCGAGGAAGGCUAUAUGCUAUAUAUUAUCCCCGUAUUCCUACGGGAACGGGAACUACGCGGGUGAAAACGCGGGUAUGUGGUGUUGCAGGGUAACCCACAGAACUGAUUUUGAAAAUUCUUUUACCACUAGAAAGCCACGUUAUAUGUGAGAAUUAAAGGCUAUAUUUUAUUUCCGUUUUCUCAAGGAAACGGAAACUACGGACAAAACCGCGGGACAUUGGCUAAGAAAGAGAGAAAUUAUAGCAAAUAUAAAAAAACAUUUUAGUGAGUUUUAUAUUGAGUGAAUAAAAUUACAUAAUUUUAAUAUUAAUA
rnacentral:lncRNA from 1 species